rnacentral:misc_RNA from 1 species
GAUCAUUACAAGUGACCCCGGUCUAACCACCGGGAUGUUCAUAACCCUUUGUUGUCCGACUCUGUUGCCUCCGGGGCGACCCUGCCUUCGGGCGGGGGCUCCGGGUGGACACUUCAAACUCUUGCGUAACUUUGCAGUCUGAGUAAACUUAAUUAAUAAAUUAAAACUUUUAACAACGGAUCUCUUGGUUCUGGCAUCGAUGAAGAACGCAGCGAAAUGCGAUAAGUAAUGUGAAUUGCAGAAUUCAGUGAAUCAUCGAAUCUUUGAACGCACAUUGCGCCCCCUGGUAUUCCGGGGGGCAUGCCUGUUCGAGCGUCAUUUCACCACUCAAGCCUCGCUUGGUAUUGGGCAACGCGGUCCGCCGCGUGCCUCAAAUCGACCGGCUGGGUCUUCUGUCCCCUAAGCGUUGUGGAAACUAUUCGCUAAAGGGUGUUCGGGAGGCUACGCCGUAAAACAACCCCAUUUCUAAGGUUGACCUCGGAUCAGGUAGGGAUACCCGCUGAACUUAAGCAUAUCAAUAAGCGGAGGAAAAGAAACCAACAGGGAUUGCUCUAGUAACGGCGAGUGAAGCAGCAAUAGCUCAAAUUUGAAAUCUGGCGUCUUCGACGUCCGAGUUGUAAUUUGUAGAGGAUGCUUCUGAGUAACCACCGACCUAAGUUCCUUGGAACAGGACGUCAUAGAGGGUGAGAAUCCCGUAUGCGGUCGGAAAGGUGCUCUAUACGUAGCUCCUUCGACGAGUCGAGUUGUUUGGGAAUGCAGCUCUAAAUGGGAGGUAAAUUUCUUCUAAAGCUAAAUAUUGGCCAGAGACCGAUAGCGCACAAGUAGAGUGAUCGAAAGAUGAAAAGCACUUUGGAAAGAGAGUUAAAAAGCACGUGAAAUUGUUAAAAGGGAAGGGAUUGCAACCAGACUUGCUCGCGGUGUUCCGCCGGUCUUCUGACCGGUCUACUCGCCGCGUUGCAGGCCAGCAUCGUCUGGUGCCGCUGGAUAAGACUUGAGGAAUGUAGCUCCCUCGGGAGUGUUAUAGCCUCUUGUGAUGCAGCGAGCGCCGGGCGA